rnacentral:rRNA from 1 species
AGCAGCCGCGGUAAUUCCAGCUCCAAUAGCGUAUAUUAAAGUUGUUGCAGUUAAAAAGCUCGUAGUUGAAUUUCGGGGUUAGUAGAUUGGUCAUGCCUCCGGUAUGCACUGGUCUUACUGAUUCCUCCUUCCUGAUGAACCGUAAUGCCAUUAAUUUGGUGUUGCGGGGAAACUGGACUGUUACUUUGAAAAAUUAGAGUGUUUAAAGCAGGCUAACGCUUGAAUACAUUAGCAUGGAAUAAUGAAAUAGGACGUUCGAUCUUAUUUUGUUGGUUUCUAGGAUUGACGUAAUGAUUAAUAGGGAUAGUUGGGGGCAUUAGUAUUCAAUUGUCAGAGGUGAAAUUCUUGGAUUUAUUGAAGACUAACUACUGCGAAAGCAUUUGCCAAGGAUGUUUUCAUUAAUCAAGAACGAAAGUUAGGGGAUCGAAGACGAUCAGAUACCGUCGUAGUCUUAACCAUAAACUAUGCCGACUAGGGAUCGGAUGAUGUUAAUUUUUAAUGACUCAUUCGGCGCCUUACG